rnacentral:rRNA from 1 species
UACAGAGAGUGCAAGCGUUAAUCGGAAUAACUGGGCGUAAAGGGCGCGUAGGUGGUGAUUUAAGUGAGUUGUGAAAUACCCGUGCUCAACAUGGGGGAGCCAACUCAAACUGAGUGACUAGAGAACAGUAGAGGGAGGUGGAAUUUCCGGAGUAGCGGUGAAAUGCGUAGAGACCGGAAGGAACACUAGAGGCGAAGGCGGCCUCCUGGGCUGUAUCUGACACUGAGGCGCGAAAGCGUGGGGAGCGAACAGG